UUUUUUUUCUUUCUUUCUUUCUUUUUUUCGAGACAUGGUUAACUAUGUUGCCUAGACUGGUGUUGAACUCCUGGCCUCAAGCAGUCCUCCUGCCUCAGCCUCCCAAAGUGCUCAGAUUACCACUAUAAUUGUCAAACUAAACUACAGUGAAUAGGAGCACAUUCUUAGUGGUAAACCACUAUAAAGAAAAUGAAGCUAAAAACCAUAAAAAUCAGCAUGGUGGUCACCCUGAGGAUGGAAGGGAGGGCAUUGUAAUUAGGCAGAACAAUGGGAGGAGCUUCUAGGGUAUUGAGAUUAUUCCAUAAAUUAAUCUGGGUGGUUGUUUUUCCACAGAUACUAGCUUUUUUUCAGUUAGCUGUACAUUUAUUUAUUUAUUUAGAGAUGGAGUCUCGCUCUGUAGCUCAGGCUGGAGUGCAAUGGCACGAUCUCGGCUCACUGCAACCUCUGCCUGCUGGGUUCAAGUGAUUCUCCUGCCUCACCCGCUCGAGUAGCUGGGAUUACAGGCAUCACCACCACACCUGGCUAAUUUUUGUAGUUUUAUUAGAGACAGGGUUUCAACAUGUUGGCCAGGCUGGUCUUGAACUCCUGACCUCAGGUGAUCCGCCCACCUUGGCCUCCCAAAGUGCUAGGAUUGCAGGCGUGAGCCACCACAGCUGUUCUGUACAUUUAUUUUUUUACACUUUUAUGUAUAUAUGUAAUUUUCCACAAUUAGAAGAGCUAGAGACAGAAGACAAACCUGUAUCCUAAGAAACGUGAAGCUUGAAUACACUAUCUGUGUGCUAACAAGCAAUUUGUUUCUCAGAUAUGCUAGUCAGCCUCCAAAAUGGCCCCCAGUGAUCCCUGUCUCUUGGUAUUCACUCCCUGGUAUUCUCCCAUAUUGUACAAGGGCUGGUCUGUGUGACCAACAGAAUAUGACAGAUGUGAUCAUGUAUCAUGUCCAAGAUUAGGUUAUUAAAGCCAUUGUGGCUUCCAUUUUGAGCACACUUUCUCUCUCUGGGAUCAUAUGCUUUUGGGGGAAAACACCUGCCAUGUUGAGCAACCCUAUGGAAAAUCCCAUGUAGUAAGAAACUGAGGUCUCCUGACAACAGAAGCAAGGAAUUGAGGCCUCCAGCCAACAACCAUGUGAGUGAGUCAUCUCACAAGCAGAUCCUCAAGUAUAUCAAGCCUUCAGAUGACUGCGGCCCCAGCCACCAUCUUGAGUGCAUCUUCAUGAGAGACCCUAAGCCAGGACCACCUAGCAAAUCACUUCCAUAGUCCUCAUCCUCAGAAAUUGUGAGAUAAAAAUGCUUGUUUUAGGCUGCCGACCUGGGAGUAAUUUGCUAUGCAGAUAGCUAAUACAAAACCCUAGAGAAUAAAAAUUGCUUUUGGUAUAGCCCCUACCUUUAUUCUAUGAGGCACUAAUAACCCUUUUUGACCUUGAAUUUGGAGAAACCCUGAAUGUAGGCAAUUAUGUGGAUGUUUUACAUCCAAAUGCUUUUUGUCUGGUCCCCCAGAUCACUAUGUUUCUAUUUUAUAACUAGUACAUACUAUAUACUA
rnacentral:lncRNA from 1 species